GGCUAAGGGUGACUGACUGCCCAGUGCAUGGAUCUCAGCAGCACGGCUUGACUUUCGGGCGGCAGGCAAGGAUGCUAAUCCACAAGGUUCCUGAGUCCAACAUCCCUCCCUCCAAUGUGGGGCUCGAAUCCGCUAUUGCAACCAAACCCGGGUUCUGCCCGCAGGGUGGCGCAAUGACAAGAGCCACCAGGUGACCCUGGUAACUCCCGCACCUAGACCUACAGGAGCAGUUUUUCUGCAGCACCACAUCUGUAGCCCUGCAUGCCGCUGGCUCCAGUGUUGUGUGUGUGGUCAUGCUCCAUCCAGCCCAGCAGCAACUUUGGUGUUUGACACCCCUCGGGAGGCACCGCUUUGGAAGAGACUGGUAACAGCAGGGUGGGACCGGCUACUUAGCUGUUCUCAGUCUGAAAGGAUUCUGGAAAGGGGCUCUAUUUAACCCAAGCACUGGAGUCCAACACAGCCUCUGCCGUGUGACAGGUGUGUGCGGAGCCCAAGAUGUGUUGGGAACAGCUAUCGUUUCUACUGCUUUGUCCCAUGCCUCUGGAGCUCCUGGGUUCCUGAACUUCAAGCUGGGCCCCAUCCUUCACCCUAUCAGGGCCCUGGGUGGAGCUGACUUCCAACAGUAUACAGUGGGUCUUGGUACUUCCUCCUUGGCAUUCGACAGUUGGUGUUUUUGAAGUCAGAGCCAUCCUCAGUAGGCUCCUAGGGGAUCGUAAGCGGCUUUCUCUGGGUGGAAACCUACUCCAUGCAGCCUUCAGCAAAGGUACCAGCAUCUGUCACUGGGAUGGGGAAGUCCGGUGAUCGUGUCAGCAUGGGCUACGGUGGACGGGGAAAGGCUCGUUCUGACACUAGACACCUGGGUCUCUAGCCCUAUGCCUGGGGAACUCUGCACCACACUGCUUUCCCCAUUACCUGCUCCACAGGCUCCACCUUUCAGAUCCCAUCCCUGCAGUUACAACUUUACUAACCAGAACUUUGUUUCCGAAAAGCAAAGGAAUAGCCCCAUAGCCCAAACCUUUUCUGCCAUGAUUUACUGUACCAGAUACCUAUAAGUGUCCAGGGCAAAUUAAACACAUCAAUAA
rnacentral:lncRNA from 1 species